rnacentral:rRNA from 1 species
AUACGGAGGGUGCAAGUGUUAAUCGGAAUUACUGGGCGUAAAGCGUACGUAGGCGGUUCGUUAAGUUAGAUGUGAAAGCCCCGGGCUUAACCUGGGAACUGCAUUUAAAACUGGCGAACUAGAGUUGAGUAGAGGGGAGUGGAAUUUCAGGUGUAGCGGUGAAAUGCGUAGAGAUCUGAAGGAACACCAGUGGCGAAGGCGGCUCCCUGGACUCAAACUGACGCUGAGGUACGAAAGCGUGGGUAGCAAACGGGAUUAGAAACCCGAGUAGUCC